rnacentral:rRNA from 1 species
AUUGAACGCUGGCGGCAGGCCUAACACAUGCAAGUCGAACGAGUGGCGGAUGGGUGAGUAAUGUCUGUGAAACUGCCUGAUGGAGGGGGAUAACUACAGGAAACGGUAGCAAAUACUGCAUACCAUCAGACGUGCUCAGAUGGGAUUAGCUAGUAGGUGGGGUAACGGCUCACCCAGGCGACGAUCCCUAGCUGGUCUGAGAGGAUGACCAGCCACACUGGAACUGAGACACGGUCCAGACUCCUACGGGAGGCAGCAGUGGGGAAUAGUGCACAAUGGGCGCAAGCCUGAUGCAGCCAUGCCGCGUGUAUGAAGAAGGCCUUCGGGUUGUAAAGUACUUUCAGCGGGGAGGCGUUACCCGCAGAAGAAGCACCGGCUAACUCCGUGCCAGCAGCCGCGGUAAUAC